CCUACGGGCGGCUGCAGUGAGGAAUAUUGGUCAAUGGGCGCGAGCCUGAACCAGCCAAGUCGCGUGAGGGAUGACGGCCCUACGGGUUGUAAACCUCUUUUGCCGGGGAGCAACGGGCGCCCCGUGUGGCGCCACAGAGAGUACCCGGAGAAAACGCCUCGGCUAACUCCGUGACAGCAGCCGCGGUAAUACGGAGGGUGCGCGCGUUAUCGGGAUUUUUGGGGUUUAAGGGGUGCGGAGGCGGAUCGUAAAGUCCGUGGUCAAACUGAGGGUCUCAACCCGUUACCGCCAUUGAUACUGGCGCUCUUGAGUGGAAGAGAAGUGUGCGGAAUGCGUGGUGUAGCGGUGAAAUGCAUAGAUAUCACGCAGAACCCCGAUUGCGAAGGCAGCAUGCCGGCUUCCGACUGACGCUGAAGCACGAAAGCGUGGGGAUCGAACAGGAUUAGAUACCCGAGUAGUC
rnacentral:rRNA from 1 species